rnacentral:ncRNA from 3 species
ACAAAAAUCCCUUUACAACGGAUCGUGAGGCACGUACCUGCCUCUGAAAGGAUGACAAAUC